rnacentral:rRNA from 1 species
UACGUAGGCAGCAAGCGUUGUUCGGAUUUACUGGGCGUAAAGAGUGCGUAGGCGGGCCUGUAAGUUUGGUGUGAAAUCUCCCGGCUCAACUGGGAGGGUGCGCCGAAGACUGCAGGGCUUGAGUAUGGGAGAGGUAAGCGGAAUUCCUGGUGUAGCGGUGAAAUGCGUAGAUAUCAGGAGGAACCCCUGUGGUGUAGACAGCUUACUGGACCAUAACUGACGCUGAGGCACGAAAGCGUGGGUAGCAAACAGG